rnacentral:rRNA from 1 species
AUGGAGGGGCUUUCUCAGGCCUUGAUGAGAAGUAAUCUGCCGGUGAUGGUAGAAUUGGAUUCUCUACAAGCUGUUAGAAUGAUUCAGUCUGGCGACAAUGACAGAUCGGUUUACUCUUCCUUGGUUGAGGAGAUAAAGCUACUCCUAAACCUACAUAGAGCUAGUAUUACUGAUAUUAGACGCUCACAACAUAAGGUUGGCAAUUGUUUGGCUAUCUUUGCUUGUGUGGAAGGCAAAACUAUGAUUUGGCUAGGGUCUGGCCCUCCUCGUGAGGCGAUUGAGUUGAACAAUGUUGAUUGUAAUCCUCUUCUCGUUGAGUAA